rnacentral:lncRNA from 14 species
CACAGAGAUUCCUGUUAAAUGUCCACAAGACUGGUCAUGUUAAAUACCGAGAAAGAUUCGGGGCAGGCUGGAUGAAGUUAGAGAUAACGAAACGAUAAAAAUGCUAAGAAUGUCCUGUGUGCUGAUUAAAGAUGAG